UAAGACCCAAUAACCUAAAGAUUAUCAAAAUUAAUCCGUUUGUUAGUUUAUUUUUGGUUUUGGUUCAAUUAUUCCCUAAAAUAGCAUAAAAGGCCCACUUUUUGUAAAAAUGACGUUUUUGGCCCAAUAGACAAAAAUUUACAAUUAAUGCCCAAUUUUUGUAAAAAUAACACUUUAGUCCCCAUUUUGUUCAAAACUUGUGUUUAUGACUUGUUUGUGGUAAAAAUAACAUUUUAAACCCAUUUUUGUCAAAAAUAUCAUUUUUGACUNGUUUGUGUAAAAAUAACAUUUUAAACCCAUUUUUGUCAAAAAUAUCAUUUUUGACUUGAUUUUUGUGAAAACACACAUUUUUCUGGUUUUUGGCUUUUAUGACCUAGUUGUUGGAAAAUUUGUAGAAAAAUCAUCGUAAGUCGAAAUUUGGAUCCGUAAAUUCUGGAAGUUUUUAAAUUUUGUCUACUUUGUUCACAAUUUUUAUCAUAAUUUUU
rnacentral:lncRNA from 1 species